UACGUAGGGCGCAAGCGUUGUCCGGAAUUAUUGGGCGUAAAGAGCUCGUAGGUGGUUUGUUACGUCCGCUGUGAAAACCUAGGGCUUAACCCUGGGCCUGCAGUGGAUACGGGCAGACUAGAGGUAGGUAGGGGAGAAUGGAAUUCCCGGUGUAGCGGUGAAAUGCGCAGAUAUCGGGAGGAACACCGGUGGCGAAGGCGGGUCUCUGGGCAGUAACUGACGCUGAGGAGCGAAAGCGUGGGGAGCGAACAGG
rnacentral:rRNA from 1 species